CAGCAGCCGCGGGAAUACGUAGGUGGCAAGCGUUGUCCGGAAUUAUUGGGCGUAAAGGGCCCGCAGGCGGUUCCUUAAGUCUGAUGUGAAAGCCCCCGGCUCAACCGGGGAGGGUCAUUGGAAACUGGGAAACUUGAGUGCAGAAGAGGAGAGUGGAAUUCCACGUGUAGCGGUGAAAUGCGUAGAGAUGUGGAGGAACACCAGUGGCGAAGGCGACUCUCUGGUCUGUAACUGACGCUGAGGAGCGAAAGCGUGGGGAGCGAACAGGAUUAGAUACCCGUGUAGUCCCUGUCUCUUAUAC
rnacentral:rRNA from 1 species